rnacentral:lncRNA from 1 species
CACAGAGUGCUACUCAGCAAGCAGUCAGAGGUGGGGUUGGCAGAUCUCGUGGCGCCCCGCUGUGGUUGCUCACAGCAAAGGAUGCCGAGGAAGAGGGACCAAGGGAGCAGGCCAAACCCAACAGAAGCUCACUGCCAAGCCUUCAGAGCUCGCAAGGAUGCUUUGCAAGAAUCUGGGGUGCAGUCUGUGAAGUGUCACUGAGUCGAGACCACUUCCUGUCCCUUCUCUAUCCAGAUGGCACAGACCUUAUGAAGGACCUGGUUCAGUACUCCCGUGCAGUUACAGAUCAUCAUCACAGCAGGACGGGUGAUGUCAGUCUCUUUGAAGAUGUCCAAGACCCUGCGUGAAGCUGAAAGGAGGCUGUGUCUGGCAGAAGACACCACACUGAAAUAGAAGAAAUAGACCCUGCCUCUCCCCCACUUCUCCUCAGGUGGGGAGAAAGUUACAGGACAGGCAGCAUCAGCAGAAUGAGCCAUCAACGGAUGCUGAUAGAGCAUUGAUCAAGGCAAUGUAGCCGAGGACAACCCAAGGCUGUGAAGCCAAGCCCACAGAACUCAGGAGCCAUUGCAUCAAAGUAAUUGCUGGGUUCACUCACCAUUCCUCAGUUCCUGAAGUGGCCACCAGGAGGCAGUGCUCCCGGGCAUCUCCCAGGCACUCUUGGACCAUCUGAUCUCUCACAUCUGAUCUCUCAGGUGCUUCUCUGGCACAUGGAAACAACUAUUGGCAAUGCACACAUGGCUGACUGGAUCUCAUGGAGGCAUUCCCACAACUGAAGCUCCUUUCUCUGUGACAACUCCAGCUUGUGUCAAGUUGACACACAAAACCAGCCAAUACAGUAGGUGACCCCAGAGCAGCUGCAUUGCUGGGCCAUGAAUAGUCACAGCUGCUUCUGAUGAAGAUGGUGAUGGCUGGUAUGCUUAGGAGACCGUUUGCAACAAGUGCCCUGAAGACACCCGGGGCUCACUCAAGAGGAGUCAAUGGACGUAGCUGCUUGUCUUGGGGUUCAGCAGCACAAUCUUUAGGGUACGUAGAGGAAGGAAUGGGAGGAGCCUGAGACCCCUAACAGUGGACCUCUGGAAUAAUCCAUCAGUCUGUUGUACUCAUCUUUGGUUUUGUGGCAAAUGUUUUAUCUCUGAGUCAUGUCUAUUUCCUACUGCGAUGGAGGAUCAGCCUCUUGGCCCUCUCUGGUGGCUGUCCUUGGCUAGCAGAGCAGCGACUGUUCAGGUGUGGUGGUGGAGGAGUGACAUCUGCAGGCCUGGGAGCUCAUCUGUUACAGUAACACUGCAGCCUGGAAAAAAGGAACUCACCCGGUGGCUAAUGAAGAAAUGCAAUGCAGACUCUCAGAACCUCGGGAACAGCCGCUAAUGACAAACUGCAGGGAGAUUCACGAUCAUGGCUGCGGUGGGGAUCUCGGUUCCGUUUCCAGGAUGAGGCAGGAAGAUUACAAAUUUGAAGACAGUUCGGACAACAGAAUGAGAGGCAUCUUGUCUCAACAGGCCAAAGAGCAAACUAAAGAAAACAAGCAAGCAAACCAACAAAAAAAGCAAAACAACAAAAAAGCAACAGCAGCCAGCGUUUAUCAUGUUACGAUUACCCUGCACUGAGCCCGCCUGUUUAGAGUAUGCAGCUUGGAUCUGGAUGUAGAACUCUCAGCUACCAUGUCUGCCUGCACGCUGCCAUGUUUCCUGCCAUGAUGACAACAGACUAAACCUCUGGAGCUGUUAGUCAGCCCCAGUUAAAUGCUUCCCUUUAUAAGAGUUGCCUUGGCCACGGUGUCUCUUGACAGCAACAGAACACAGUGACUAACACACUGGUGUAUGAGUGUUAAGAAUAAAUGUGUUUUCAUUUC